UUCAGGUGCAUUUGCUGUGGAAUUUAUGUCUCCCAGGCAGCAGCUGCCCACUGCCCUGGUGAUCUUGGAACCAAGGGGACAGAGGCAAGGAGACAAGGCCUUCCUUCCAUAGGGCUUUCCAGGGAAUCUCUGUCAUACAGCACAGCUACAAGAAUCUUGGAGAUAUCUUAUCCUGGACUGUGAGUGCACACAGCACAUUUGCCUGAACCUCUGUGCCAUGCUGUUCACAGCAAGUUUUGUGAAACAUAUCAGAGCAUCA